GUACGGGAGGCAGCAGUGAGGAAUAUUGGUCAAUGGACGCAAGUCUGAACCAGCCAUGCCGCGUGAAGGAUGAAGGCCCUAUGGGUUGUAAACUUCUUUUAUACGGGACGAAUCUCUCUGACGUGUCAGGGACUGACGGUACUGUACGAAUAAGCAACGGCUAACUCCGUGCCAGCAGCCGCGGUAAUACGGAGGUUGCAAGCGUUAUCCGGAUUUAUUGGGUUUAAAGGGUGCGUAGGCGGAAUAAUAAGUCAGUGGUGAAAACCUGCAGCUUAACUGUAGAACUGCCAUUGAUACUGUUGUUCUUGAGUAUAGUUGAGGUGGGCGGAAUGUGUAAUGUAGCGGUGAAAUGCUUAGAUAUUACACAGAACACCAAUUGCGUAGGCAGCUCACUAAACUAAAACUGACGCUGAGGCACGAAAGCGUGGGGAGCAAACAGGAUUAGAUACCCUGGU
rnacentral:rRNA from 1 species